rnacentral:rRNA from 1 species
ACCUGCGGAAGGAUCAUUAUCGUACAACCGAGGCACUUGGGCUGUCGCUGACCUCUUAAAAAGAGGUCGUGCACGUCCAAGUGUUCUCACACAUCCAUCUCACCCUUUUGUGAACCACCGCGUGAGCCCCCCUCCUUCAAAGGGGAAGGGGCUUGCGUUUUUAUACAAAUACUUUUGAUGCAGUUUAGAAUGUAUUAUCUCUUUUGCGGUGACACGCAAUCAAUACAACUUUCAACAACGGAUCUCUUGGCUCUCGCAUCGAUGAAGAACGCAGCGAAAUGCGAUACGUAAUGUGAAUUGCAGAAUUCAGUGAAUCAUCGAAUCUUUGAACGCACCUUGCGCCCCUUGGCAUUCCGAGGGGCACACCCGUUUGAGUGUCGUGAAACCCUCAAAACCUUUUCUUUGGUUCUUUUGAUCAGGAAAAGGAUUUUGGACUUGGAGGUUCACUGCUGGCUUUUCCUUUUUGAGAGCAGAGCUCCUCCUAAAUGGAUUAGUGGGGGUCUAAGUGUUUGAUCCUUGACGUGAUAAGAUGUUUCUACGUUUUGGGUUUGGCACUGUCUCUUGGACGCCUGCUUCUAACCGUCUCAUGGACGACGAUGGUGUUCUGGUCGUCGCCGAUUUAUUGGCGGGAGGCUUGACCCACAAAGAAAACCUUGACCUCAAAUCGGGUGAGACUACCCGCUGAACUUAAGCAUAUCAAUAAGCGGAGGAAAAGAAACUAACAAGGAUUCCCCUAGUAACUGCGAGUGAAGCGGGAAAAGCUCAAAUUUAAAAUCUGGUGGUCCUUGGCCAUCCGAGU